UGGCCUGUGUCACGUGGGGGGGAGUCGAGCAAUGAGCGUUUGGGACGGUGAGCCGUCGUGGACGACGCCCCCUUCACGUAAUCCAAGAGAGAGGUUCCACCGGGUGCUUCCCAAUAGCUGCUGCCGCUAGUCUGGUGGAGCUGUGAGGAAGAGGUUCAUGGUGGGGAAAGGCUGUUGGGUGGAUUGGACUCUGACUGCAGGAGACCAGCAGAUGUCACCAAUAACCCACAGAUCAGAUCAUGAUCUUCAUCCCUGCCUGUUUUUCCUCACUGCAAUUGUUUCUCUGUAAUUCUU